rnacentral:rRNA from 1 species
CAGAAUAAGCACCGGCUAACUUCGUGCCAGCAGCCGCGGUAAUACGAAGGGUGCAAGCGUUAAUCGGAAUUACUGGGCGUAAAGCGCGCGUAGGUGGUUCGUUAAGUUGGAUGUGAGAGCCCCGGGCUCAACCUGGGAACUGCAUCCAAAACUGGCGAG